GACGAGCGCUGGCGGCGUGCUUAACACAUGCAAGUCGAACGGAAAGGCCCUGCUUUUGUGGGGUGCUCGAGUGGCGAACGGGUGAGUAACACGUGAGUAACCUGCCCUUGACUUUGGGAUAACUUCAGGAAACUGGGGCUAAUACCGGAUAGGAGCUCCUGCUGCAUGGUGGGGGUUGGAAAGUUUCGGCGGUUGGGGAUGGACUCGCGGCUUAUCAGCUUGUUGGUGGGGUAGUGGCUUACCAAGGCUUUGACGGGUAGCCGGCCUGUGAGGGUGACCGGCCACAUUGGGACUGAGAUACGGCCCAGACUCCUACGGGAGGCAGCAGUGGGGAAUAUUGCACAAUGGGCGGAAGCCUGAUGCAGCAACGCCGCGUGCGGGAUGACGGCCUUCGGGUUGUAAACCGCUUUCGCCUGUGACGAAGCGUGAGUGACGGUAAUGGGUAAAGAAGCACCGGCUAACUACGUG
rnacentral:rRNA from 1 species